CGAACGAUGAACCACAUUCGGUGGGGAUUAGUGGCGAACGGGUGAGUAACACGUGGGCAAUCUGCCCUGCACUCUGGGACAAGCCCUGGAAACGGGGUCUAAUACCGGAUACUGAUCACUGCAGGCAUCUGUGGUGUUCGAAAGCUCCGGCGGUGCAGGAUGAGCCCGCGGCCUAUCAGCUUGUUGGUGAGGUAAUGGCUCACCAAGGCGACGACGGGUAGCCGGCCUGAGAGGGCGACCGGCCACACUGGGACUGAGACACGGCCCAGACUCCUACGGGAGGCAGCAGUGGGGAAUAUUGCACAAUGGGCGCAAGCCUGAUGCAGCGACGCCGCGUGAGGGAUGACGGCCUUCGGGUUGUAAACCUCUUUCAGCAGGGAAGAAGCGAAAGUGACGGUACCUGCAGAAGAAGCGCCGGCUAACUACGUGCCAGCAGCCGCGGUAAUACGUAGGGCGCGAGCGUUGUCCGGAAUUAUUGGGCGUAAAGAGCUCGUAGGCGGCUUGUCACGUCGGUUGUGAAAGCCCGGGGCUUAACCCCGGGUCUGCAGUCGAUACGGGCAGGCUAGAGUUCGGUAGGGGAGAUCGGAAUUCCUGGUGUAGCGGUGAAAUGCGCAGAUAUCAGGAGGAACACCGGUGGCGAAGGCGGAUCUCUGGGCCGAUACUGACGCUGAGGAGCGAAAGCGUGGGGAGCGAACAGGAUUAGAUACCCUGGUAGUCCACGCCGUAAACGGUGGGCACUAGGUGUGGGCAACAUUCCACGUUGUCCGUGCCGCAGCUAACGCAUUAAGUGCCCCGCCUGGGGAGUAC
rnacentral:rRNA from 1 species